UGAGCUCAAGUGAUCCUCCCACCUCAGCCUCCUGAGUAGCUGAGACUAUCGGCUGCACUACCACACCUGGAUAGCACCUUUCGAUAAGCUGGUCUCGAACUCCUGGGCUCAAGUGAUACUCCUGCCUUGGCCUCUCAAAGUGCUGGGAUUAGACGUGAGCCACUGUGCCUGGCCUAAGUCAGUAUUUCUACAAGCAAUGGAAGAGAUUGCUGAUUUUUGUUUGUUUUCAGUUAAAUACCAGGUAAGUUCAAUGACUUGCUUUGACAGGACAUCUUAUAUGAAAAAUACCUAUCUUUGAACACUAGAAUCAAACUCAGGAAGUUGAGCUAUGUACACUAUGAUAGGUACAAGGGAAAGAGACCGGUUUGAGAGAACAGUGGAUUCACAACUUCCAUCUAACACGAAUGUGAUCCAUAUAUACAUGGAGAGCAGACAUCUAAACAACUGGAAACACAGCAGAAGGGCAUGCUUUUUCGAAAUUGUUACCUUUCUCAUUUUCGCUCAGUACCCAUAUAGCUGAACUCACGUAAUGAAAUGUUCAUAGAAUGUGACCCUAUUCUCUGCUACAAUUAGAGGGAUUUGUGAAACUUUUGUCAUUUAAUAAAACCAUUAGUUGUAAUUAUUUAUUAAAUCAAUUCAUAUGUUCCUCUCUUUUCACAUUCAAAUACGUUUUAAUAGGAAUGGCAAUAUAUUUUAAUGCUCCAGAGGAAAGAGUAGAACUCUGGCCAUUGUACAUUCUUUAUUAAACAUCAAUACUGAAAACA